rnacentral:rRNA from 1 species
AACGAACGCUGGCGGCAGGCUUAACACAUGCAAGUCGAACGCCCCGCAAGGGGAGUGGCAGACGGGUGAGUAACGCGUGGGAAUCUACCCAGAACUUCGGAACAACUGAGGGAAACUUCAGCUAAUACCGGAUACGCCCUACGGGGGAAAGAUUUAUCGGUUCUGGAUGAGCCCGCGUAAGAUUAGCUAGUUGGUGAGGUAAUGGCUCACCAAGGCGACGAUCUUUAGCUGGUCUGAGAGGAUGAUCAGCCACACUGGGACUGAGACACGGCCCAGACUCCUACGGGAGGCAGCAGUGGGGAAUAUUGGACAAUGGGCGAAAGCCUGAUCCAGCCAUGCCGCGUGAGUGAUGAAGGCCUUAGGGUUGUAAAGCUCUUUCAGUGGGGAAGAUAAUGACGGUACCCACAGAAGAAGCCCCGGCUAACUUCGUGCCAGCCGCCGCAGUAAGAC